rnacentral:rRNA from 1 species
UACGUAGGGUGCGAGCGUUAAUCGGAAUUACUGGGCGUAAAGCGUGCGCAGGCGGUCUGUUAAGACCGAUGUGAAAUCCCCGGGCUUAACCUGGGAACUGCAUUGGUGACUGGCAGGCUUUGAGUGUGGCAGAGGGAGGUAGAAUUCCACGUGUAGCAGUGAAAUGCGUAGAGAUGUGGAGGAAUACCGAUGGCGAAGGCAGCCUCCUGGGCCAACACUGACGCUCGAUGCACGAAAGCGUGGGGAGCAAACAGG